AACGUAGGACGCAAGCGUUAUCCGGAGUUACUGGGCGUAAAGGGUCUGUAGGUGGCCAAUUAAGUCAGACGUGAAAUCCCUCAGCUUAACUGGGGAACUGCGUCUGAGACUGGAUGGCUCGAGUGCAGGAGAGGAAUGCGGAAUUCCAGGUGUAGCGGUGAAAUGCGUAGAUAUCUGGAGGAACACCGGUGGCGAAGGCGGCAUUCUGGACUGCAACUGACACUGAAAGACGAAAGCCAGGGGAGCAAACGGG
rnacentral:rRNA from 1 species